rnacentral:rRNA from 1 species
AGUGAACGCUGGCGGUAGGCCUAACACAUGCAAGUCGAACGGCAGCACAGUAAGAGCUUGCUCUUACGGGUGGCGAGUGGCGGACGGGUGAGGAAUACAUCGGAAUCUACUUUUUCGUGGGGGAUAACGUAGGGAAACUUACGCUAAUACCGCAUACGACCUACGGGUGAAAGCAGUGGAUCUUCGGACCUUGCGCGAUUGAAUGAGCCGAUGUCGGAUUAGCUAGUUGGCGGGGUAAAGGCCCACCAAGGCGACGAUCCGUAGCUGGUCUGAGAGGAUGAUCAGCCACACUGGAACUGAGACACGGUCAAGACUCCUACGGGAGGCAGCAGUGGGGAAUAUUGGACAAUGGGCGCAAGCCUGAUCCAGCCAUACCGCGUGGGUGAAGAAGGCCUUCGGGUUGUAAAGCCCUUUUGUUGGGAAAGAAAAGCAGCAGGUUAAUACCCCGCUGUUCUGACGGUACCCAAAGAAUAAGCACCGGCUAACUUCGUG